GUGGGGAAUAUUGGGCAAUGGGCGAAAGCCUGACCCAGCAACGCCGCGUGAAGGAAGAAGGUUUUCGGAUCGUAAACUUCUAUCCUUGGUGAAGAUAAUGACGGUAGCCAAGAAGGAAGCCCCGGCUAACUACGUGCCAGCAGCCGCGGUAAUACGUAGGGGGCAAGCGUUGUCCGGAAUGAUUGGGCGUAAAGGGCGCGUAGGCGGCCCGGUAAGUCUGAAGUGAAAGUCCUGCUUUUAAGGUGGGAAUUGCUUUGGAUACUGUCGGGCUUGAGUGCAGGAGAGGUAAGCGGAAUUUCCGGUGUAGCGGUGAAAUGCGUAGAGAUCGGGAGGAACACCAGUGGCGAAGGCGGCUUACUGGACUGUAACUGACGCUGAGGCGCGAAAGUGUGGGGAGCAAACAGGAUUAGAUACCCCGGUAGUCC
rnacentral:rRNA from 1 species